rnacentral:rRNA from 1 species
UACGGAGGGUGCAAGCGUUAUCCGGAUUCACUGGGUUUAAAGGGUGCGUAGGUGGGCAGGUAAGUCAGUGGUGAAAUCUCCGGGCUUAACUCGGAAACUGCCGUUGAUACUAUCUGUCUUGAAUAUCGUGGAGGUUAGCGGAAUAUGUCAUGUAGCGGUGAAAUGCUUAGAUAUGACAUAGAACACCGAUUGCGAAGGCAGCUAACUACACGAUCAUUGACACUGAGGCACGAAAGCGUGGGGAGCAAAAGGG